UUUUCAGCCCAUGAUGUCACAAUAGCCUACUACGUAUGCUACUGUUGCUAUUUAAGUGCCCCUCAACUCUGUGAGUGCUCUGAGGGCAAGGCCAGUCUAUCACUGUUUUACAGACCCACAGUGUAUAUAAUGCUGUGUCCCAAAGAGAUUUUUUAAAAUAAUGUAAGACUACAAAAAGUGAACAAUGCCCCCUUGUCAUUGUUUUGAAAAGUAAAAUAAAUCUAGUUGUAUAAAUUAGACAAAACAGAUUUGGUAAGAAAGAAAAAGAAUAAGGGUGAUAUGAUCUGGCAAGAUGGGGCUUUUGUAUCUUCGAGUGCAUUAGCUGAUUUCUUUCUUCAGCUUCUGGGAAUAUAAAAAAGGUAGUCUGUCAGACCACAGAACAAGAAAACACAGCAGAAAAAAAAUAAUGAGAUGAUACAUCCUUUUGUAGCAGCAAGUUUGUUAGCCCGUCCUUCACUCCCUCCAUCCUACCCCAAGAAGAACCACUUUUGCUGGAUGGCACGAUUGAUGAUGACUGAAAUUGCAAUGCAUACUACUGCGCACCUAAUACGUACUGUUGGCUUCUAAGCAUUUAACAUUUGUGUAUUAACGCCUUACAGUAUGCUUAUGAAGGAAAGAAUCUUGUCCUCAUUUUAUGGAAAAAAGAAACUGAAACACAGAGACGAAUGAUUUGAAGACAGAAAUUUCUAAUGAUGGGUCAAUAUGAAGUCACAACAAUGUAUCAAUUCAGAAAUGAGAUUCACAUACCCUUCUUUAAUGGCUACCAAGGCUGGAUAGAUACUGCUGAGGAAUUUCGGGGGGGAGGAUACGGAAGUGUCAGCACCUUGGUAUUCUGGUUAUGAUGCACAAGCCUGUACUCACCCCUCCGUCAUUCAGAGCCCUCACCCGGAAACGAUACACAGUUCCGGGGAGCAGGUUGCCCACGGUGCACUCGAGCUCUGGCCCAUGGUACACCUCCGAAGCCACAUCCUCGGGUUCCGUCAUCUCCACACUGUACUCUGAGACCUCACAGCCACUUUCUGAGGCAGGAACGUCUGGGAAUGGAGAAUGCUUUUCAUCUUAGAACAUUUUUAUGCUUCCAGUUGAGCAGCUCACACCUGGUUUCCCACAAGGUUUGUAACACAUCGUGUGGGCGGCUGGUCCUCAGUAUCUCUCCUACAAAAAGGAACCCUCCCCUCCCCCCAAAAGAAAAGCGAUACGGAAGAAAAAGUUUCUGAAGGAUGUUAUCCGUACUUUCCAAACUACAUCUAAGUACAUUCAAUUACUUCAACAAAAUAAUUUGGAAACAACAGAACCCCUUGGCAAAUGUCUACACUGUAAGACAAGGAAGAAACAGAGGGAGAAAAUCUUCUCUCUAACUUAAAACCAAAGGCCACGUUAAAUCAAGAUAAAUGACCCAAGGUUGGCACAAUAUUUUAUGACGUUGUAGACACGAGUAGUGGCAAAAAAACAGUCUGAUGGAGUUGUGCAGGUUUGUAUUUGCGAGUUUACAUGCUGCAAACUGCUGUCACAACAGGAAAUGCUUGUACAGCUCAAAUCCAUACUGCAAAGUGCCAGGGCCCACAUGUGACAAAAGACGAGGAGAAUCAGAGGUCACCUUACGAACCUCGCUUUAAUCUCUACAUUGCACGCAACUUCGCUUUUGUGAAUAGAGUUGAAAAACUCCUGGGAAAGACUGGCUGCUGUGCAAGAUUUUCUAGGCAAGUGUCCUCUGAAGGACAGAGAAUGCCCAGUGAGCGUAGCUCCCUCAGGAUGAGCGACGGCGUGCCUCAGAACACAAACCCAAGCCAACACACAUCAGACAGACAGCGGACAUUUUCAACAGGAAGGACUACGGUCGUUAGCAGACUGCCAACUUAAUCACAAAGCAUGAAAUCUCCAAUUCCAUCUCCAGUUGUCCCAACCGUCAAUGUCAACAUGAAGAUUUGUUCACUCACCCCACUCUAAGUGGACUUCUUUGUGCUUUGGUCUACCCAAAACCCUCGGUGGUCGACACUGACCUGGUGCAAUGCUUAGUGUGCGAGCAGGGAGACUUUCAGAGCACUGCAGGAGAAACACCGGAGAGAACCAUCUCUUAGUUACUGUGAAUUCACCAGACCUCUACAUCCCAGGCAGAUCCUACCCUGUAACUGAACAUGCUGCCCAAAGGGGAUCACACGGUGAAUGUGCACACUUGAUUUCUGUGCAGAAGGGCCUUCUCUCGUGUGCGUGUCAGGCGUGAACAUACACUGCAUGUGGCACUGGUAAAAAUGCUUAUUUAUGAAGUCAGAUUCGUAGCCACGGGUUGUGUAUUCUAAGCACACAACUGCUUUCCUUUAAGCCAAAAUUAGAGAGAUCUGUCGUGAGGACAGAAGAGAACACAAAACAACAGCUGGAUGACAUUUUUAAAUGGUGCUAUAAACGGUGAAACCAUCCACAUACGGGGGCAGAAGAGCAAAUAAAUUCAGUAUUAAUCAACUGAGUCUGACAUUAACCGGCAGGUUCUUUUAAUGCUAAAAUAAGCGGGCCUCCUUUUAGGAGCUGAUUGUGCAAGGCUGGGGAUGUGGAAGUCGACUGUCUGCAAGAGGAGAAAACAAGGUGCAACUCUGCAGCUUGGCCAGACUCCUCCCUUUUCCCCGAGAAGAAGUGCUGCAGGGGAGAGGUACCCUAGACACCUCACACAGGAGGUGCCUGCUGACCCUCUGGGGCCUGGAUGUGGGGACAGCCCACCCAGGGAAGCACUACAGAGAGCUCUGGCGCUGGACGGUGGUCUAACUGGACCUUCUUUUCACAGUCUGUCUAUGUGGGUAGCCUAAACAUCACGGCACUGCUAUCCUUGCGGGAAAAAGAAAAACACAGGACACCAGUGGAGGUGUGCUGACUGCGGACUGCAAAGCCAGGCACCCUAACGGCAAGUCUUCUUGAGAAACAUAAACCCAGCACAGGGCUAUAAGCUACCGUCUCUCACUAUUAAUGGUUUCAAACCAUGAUGUGAAACAUCCCUACGAUGAAAAUGGCUUUUUACCA